rnacentral:rRNA from 1 species
AUUGAACGCUGGCGGCAGGCCUAAUACAUGCAAGUCGAGCGGAAGAAGGGAGCUUGCUCCUGGUUUCAGCGGCGGACGGGGGGGUAAUGCCCGAGCAUCUGCCUGGCAGGGGGGGAUCACGCCCGGAAACGGGCGCUAAUACCGCAUAAGUCCUGAGGGAGAAAGAGGGGGAUCUUCAGACCUCACGCUAUAAGAUGAGCCUAGGUCGGAUUAGCUAGUUGGUGGGGUAAAGGCCUACCAAGGCGACGAUGCGUAACUGGUCUGAGAGGAUGAUCAGUCACACUGGAACUGAGACACGGUCCAGACUCCUACGGGAGGCAGCAGUGGGGAAUAUUGGACAAUGGGCGAAAGCCUGAUCCAGCCAUGCCGCGUGGGUGAAGAAGGUCUUCGGAUUGUAAAGCACUUUAAGUUGGGAGGAAGGGCAGUAAGUUAAUCCCUUGCUGUUUUGACGUUACCAACAGAAUAAGCACCGGCUAACUUCGUG